rnacentral:sRNA from 1 species
AAAAAGUAAAAAUAUUUUAUGCUUUUUCAUUAGGAAUACUUACAUAGCUCUUUAUAUUUGGAAGCUUCCCCCCUCCCCCAUAUAAAAGGAAUAAGUUAUGAAUAUGAGCUUUUAAGUCAAACUUGAGGUACUAUUUACAGAUCUUAUUCCAUUUUUGGGAUAGUUUCUGUGGUAUAAGUUAAAUGCCACAGGCUUUUACUUGGUUCUUAGCAGUUAUCAAUUUGUUUUUGAGGGGUAUGCUUCCAAAACUAAACUUGAGUAAGACAUAGAACAUUUCUUGUGUGAUGUAAGGAGCUAACAUUACUAAUCUUACAUAAGAAGCAUCAUUAACAGAAUAGAUAGAGGAUUAUGGGGCUUUAGCCACUCUCUGGGAAACAUAGAUGCUGUAAAUUGGAUAUAUGUUAGUCGAAUCAACCAGCAAUCUAAGUGGUAUAUUUGAAAUUCAUAACCUGGUUGUACAGUGUAGUUGGUGGUUUUCUCAUGUGAAGAGAUGUCUUUUCUCAAUGCUGAAUGUUUUUUCUUUUUGUCUAGGGCUGCUUCCCCAAGCCCACAGUCUGUAAGGAGGGUCUCAUCCUCCCGAUCUGUCUCCGGGUCUCCUGAGCCAGCAGCUAAAAAGCCCCCAGCACCUCCGUCCCCCGUCCAGUCUCAGUCACCGUCUACAAACUGGUCACCAGCUGUACCGGUCAAAAAGGCCAAAAGCCCAACACCGAGCCCAUCACCGCCAAGAAAUUCAGAUCAAGAAGGAGGUGGAAAGAAAAAGAAGAAAAAGAAGGACAAGAAACACAAAAAGGAUAAGAAGCACAAGAAGCAC